rnacentral:rRNA from 1 species
CCUACGGGAGGCAGCAGUGGGGAAUAUUGGGCAAUGGGCGCAAGCCUGACCCAGCAACGCCGCGUGCAGGAUGAAGGCUCUCGGGUUGUAAACUUCUUUUCUGAGGGACGAAGAAAGUGACGGUACCUCAGGUAUAAGCCUCGCGUAACUACGUGCCAGCAGACGCGGUAAUACGGAGGUGGCAAGAGUUAUCCGGAUGUAUUGGGUGUAAAGGGAGUGUAGGCGGGAAAGCAAGUCAGAUGUGAAAUCUCAGGGCUCAACCGGGAGCCUGCAUUUGAAACUGUGGUUCUUGAGUGAGGGGAGGGCAGGCGGAAUGCGGUGUGUAGCGGUGAAAUGCUUAGAUAUGAGGAAGAACACCGAGGGCGAAGGCAGAUUGCUGAAGAGGAACUGACGCUGAGGCGCGAAAGCGGGGGGAUCAAACAGGAUGAGAUACCCGUGUAGUC